rnacentral:lncRNA from 1 species
CUCGUUGCACGCCAGGACACCCGUCGCUGCCAGCAGCCGCAGGAGGCGGCCGAGGAACGACUGCUUGGAUGGCGGGAGGGACAGCAUGGUGGCCAGGUCGGCCAACGACGCGGCACCGCCGAGGCGGUGGAUGGCGGUAGGGAUGCCUAGCUGGAUGGCGCACCUUAGCGCCAUUGGUGUGAGGUAGCUGAGGCUGUGGCGCCAAAGGUCUGCCUGCGCCUGGACUAGCUCGGCGUCCGUGGGGAUUGUCAUGGUUUGUGAAGACUCCGCUGCCAUUGCUUUCUCUUUCUCUUGCUAUGAGGCUGGUGUUCCGUGUGUGUGUUGAUUACUUACCUAGCUAGGGCGGUUUAUAUAGGGUGCAUUUUUGCUGCUGCUACAGAAAUUAACAAAGGUUUAAUCAUUCACUCGUGGAACUCGAGGUCGACAUUUUCUUACCGACACUGCUCAAAAUCUGAGCGUGGAACUGUUUGUUGCUGGACAGGGCUAUGAGCGUCGACACGCUCAGGAGAAGAGCGGGUCUGUUUGCUCUGAUUCCUUUCCGCUAUGCUGCCAUACUCCGUCCGUUCCUAAAUAUAAGUCUUUUAAGAUAUUUCAUUAGGAGUCUACAUACAAAACAAAAUGAGUGAAUCUACACUCUAAAGUAUGUCUAUAUACACAGACAGCUCAUUGAUUACUAACUGUAAUGCGAUGUGCUCUUUGAGUACACCCGGCGUACUCUGUCCAUGAGGCUGGUUGUAAUGGAUAUUAUCAUAUACUAGUAUCAUGCAUAUGAUACUAGUGUAUGAUACCACAUCUGUAAUGCAUAAUAUCAUAUGAUAGUAUCAUACGGUAAUUCAUUUAUUGCCAUGCAUGGCACAUAGCAGCACAUCAUUUAAUAUGAUACGGUAUCAUAAUUAAUAUGAUACUCAAUCCUCUCUUUCUUCAUUUAAUUCCAUGCCACCUCAUCAAAAUUGCUUAGUUAGCAUGCAUGAUACUACCUAUGAUAUUCCCAUUACGGACAGCCUGAGUGGAGAUCCAACUCGCCAGGUUGGCUUGGGCUACAUGUUUAGCGAAAUAUGUUGAUGAGGAUCACUUACUUUGUCGAACUAGAUAAUAUCCCUAGCGUUGCUGCUGAAAUUUGUAGCAAUAUAUAGAAUCAUCGAUGCACAUUUUCACCAUGCAUAUAUACGAACAAUAGCACACCCAUAAGUACAUGCUACAAUGCCUUGCUGUCUUCUAGCAUUAGUGGAAUAAUUCUAUGAUGUGGAGGUUUUUCAUGUGCUAGCUAGAAAGUGAAAUGUAUAUGAAUUGUAAUCCCUAAGUUACUUAAUAAAAGCCCAUUAAGAGAUUUCAUUUAUUUUACUUCAUAUCAUCGUAUGUAGUCUGUAUUAGAAUCUUUAAAAGGUCUUCUAUUUAGAAACGAAGGGAGUAUAUGCUUGAUGAUAUGGACGAUCAAUUUGCAUGUGCUUUAAAAUAGAUCAACUACUUAAACUUACAAAGUAGAGGAUAUAGGAUAUGAUUAGCUCUGAAAUAUAUUUUUGUUAUGAAUCCAAGCAGCACUACCUUCCGUCUGUUGAGCCUUGAAUGGAGGCCAAUCAACCUACACAGGUAGCAGCUAGUUAUCACACGUCGCGCGUCAUAAACUGAACAUCCUCGACGACCCGGAAAUAGCAACAGAGGACAGAAUUACUGCAAUCAGUUGUUCUACUAGCUAGCACAUGCAUUGGUCGCAUAAACAAUGAUGAGCGCGUGCAGCGUGAUGCACGAGUGUAUUUUUAUAUGACCUGUGCAAGGGGACUUCCAUUCACGGCUAGGGAUCAAGUUUUACGGUGGUUUGUCUUCUUUUCCCUAAAACGGGUGUAAUUAAUCAUUCAUUAGUAAUCAUCCACCGCACAAGGACCCAUAACGGACACGUGAUUUUAACUGGGAUGCCCUUUAUUUUGACGACUGUGAUCUUUCCAGUUUGGAAGAAAAUUUUACAAAAAUAGAUGUGUUGGCGGUCAUAACGAAAUUGUCCGGGGACAAGGUUCCGAGGCCAGAUGCGUUCACUGACGUAUUCUUCAAAUCAUGCUGGGAGGUCAUCAAGGUGGACUUGAUGAACGCUAUUAACUUCUUCUCCAACCUGCAGACCGCCAAUCCGUAUUGGAUAAACUCAGCAAAUAUAGUUUUACUCCCUAAGAAGGAAGGGGCGGAGGACAUUGCAGAUUUUCAUCCAAUCAACCUUAUUCACUCCUUCGCCAAAAUUAUUGUCAAGAUCAUGGGUAUUCAGCUAGCCCCUUUCAUGAACGGUCUGGUUUCUAGGGCGCAAAGCGCGUUUAUCCAGACUAAAAGUAUUCACGGUAACUUCAUGUUUGUACGAGGGUUCACUCAACGACUACACAUGACAAACAUGCCAUCCUUGCUUUUCAAACUUGACAUUAAGAAAGCAUUUGAUUCAAUUCGCUUGGACUAUUUGCUGGACAAGCUACAAUGCAUAGGUUUCCCUCCCAGAUUCAGGAAUUGGGUGGCAGUCCUUUGGGCAUCAUCAUCUUCGUGGGUGCUUUUGAAUGGCAUUCUGGGAGACCCCAAUAAGCUCGGUAAGGGGCUGUGUCGGGGUGAUACACUAUCCUCUUUUGCUCUUUGUCAUUGCCAUCGAUCUUGUCGAGUAACUACUCGCCAAAGCAACGGAUCAAGGAUUACUGCAUCGAUUGCAUGGCCUUGCCACUACCUUACGCACCUCCUUAUAUGUCGACGACACAACCAUCUUUGUCACCCCCAUCAAAGAGGAUAUAGAGCAGCUGGCGGGUAUUUUGAAAAGUUUUGGAGAGGUUACAGAUCUUGUAGCGAAACCUAUAAAAAGCAUCGUGGCUCCGACCCGUUGCAGUAACAUUGACCUUGAUGAUAUCCUCCAUAGUUUUCCUACCACCCGUGGGGGAUUUCCUCUUUUGUAUCUUGGCCAGCCGCUAUCCACUCACAAACUGAAGAUGGUCGACUGCCAAUUUUUGGUGGAUAAGAUGGUGGCCAAGCUCCCUCCUUGGCAAGGAAACAACAUUAACUCAGCGGGCUGGUCCUGCCUUGUCAAGUCGGUCUUACCUUCACUCAUGAUCUACUCCAUCACCGUGCUUGUCAUUCCACAAGGAAUCAAUGCGAGUAUAACCAAGAUUUAGAGGGCUUUUCUGUGGGUCGGAACCGAUCACGUUUCAGGGGGGAAAAGCAAGGUAAAUUGGAAAACGGUAUGUCGCCCAACCUCUCUUGGAGGUCUUCGAAUCCUUGAUAUGAACAAAUUUGCAAGGGACCUUCGCUUGCAUUGGCUAUGGUUUGCUUGGAUGGAUCCUCACUAUUAGGAAAAAUCCUAGUAGUAGAAAGGAGUAAAGGACUACUAGUAGCGCGGGUGCCCGCGCUAGUACUAGGGACAACUAACUGGUACUAGUAGCGUGGUUGACACCCUGCGCUACUACUACGUCUGUUAGUAGUAGUGCGGGUACCACCCGCAUUACUACUAGUUAUCUGUAGCAUGGUUCUGGACCCCGCGCUACUACUACCUCAUGUCCUCACGAGGCCUUGUCCCGGUGAGGAAGUGCAAGUGGUUGCAUGGCAGAUGUGUCUAUCGCCAUGGACGACGUCCUGCUAGAUCCCCCUCUCCUUCCAGCAUCGGAGAAGGAGGAUGAAGGAGGGCGAGGGGUGCGGUGGGAGAGGAAGUCGCCGGAUUUUGGUGUGAGGCCAGCGCUGGCGGUGGGUGAGGAAGGGCAUCAUGGGGGGAGGGGAGAAGGGGAAUCGAGUGAGUGUGGGUUUGGGUUUGGGUCUCCGCAUGCUAUGUUUACGUACACAUGUGUUGGUGGGUCAAUAGGAGUAGUGUCGGGUUUAUACUCCACACUACUAGUAGUAGUGGUGAAGCCGUGCAUUCGCACGGGCUAGUUGCAAAAUAUUACCUUAGACCUGACUUACCAUACAAACAUAAAGUAUUUGAACAUCACGAGACUUAGUCAUAAGGAUUUUUUUUCCAUGAAUCAGUCAUGGAUACGUCUUACUGAUGAAAAAGUGAGUUGGUACAAAAACUAUAUGUCAAGACAGCACGCUGACAUGCCUUUAUAGUGUUUCUAUUUCCAUUAUAUAUGAACAAAAGGAAUUAAAUCACAAAAUCAUUCAAUUUAUGGAUGGUCACCUUAAGUAUAGUUCUUUUGCCUUGUUUGAGAAGCAUGUGGAGUGGCUGAAUACAUUCCUUAUGUCUAUCUAUGUAUAUAUGGAUUUGAAUAUUCAUGCUGAGUAACUAUUUAGAAAUGUCCACACAGUUGUCGGUGUUAGUUUGUUAUGAAAUUCUCCUUGCGUAUGUUAAUAAGUGACAUUUUUGUUACAACCGGCGUUUGACUUUUGCUAACACGUACCAUCAGCUUCGUUUUUUUGCUACGAUCACGUAGAUAUUUUUUUUGCUACACUUUUUGUUUUCUGUUGCAACCGUUGAAAAAUUUGCUGCAUGGCAUCGAAAUUUUGCUGCAUAGGAAGAAAAAUGUUGCAUGCGGAUCCAACGGUGCGGACGGCGCGGGGUUGGUGGAUCCUGCGACCCGCGCGCGGCCGGCCGAAAAUCUGGGCCGGCACGCCGGCGCAGAUCACCCCCCUAUACGAAAGCACCCCUAAGGUGUCCACUGCCAACAGCUAUGGCAAAUAAAGAAACAGAGAACGCUUGAUAUGAGCCUCCAUUACGCAUAACGCUUGAUAUGAUUACUAAUUCAGUUAGCGUCAAUGCAUCCAUGUUUGACAGAAAGAAUCUGUAGAUGUUUCACAUCCUACUCCACAUUCUAGACCUAUGUAUUAGACCAUUCAAAUACAAGAUUAUAUGCAUAUACCAUAAUGCAAAAUAAGCUUAAUGUCUCAGCUUGUUGGAGCACACAAACAUGGACACUCACACACCGAGUGCCUCAACACUUCUCGAAACUAAUCCACACACAUACGCACGCACACACACACGGACAUACAUAAAAGUAAGGCACCGACGCCUUAUUUAGUUCUUAUAGCACACCACUAAUUUAUACAUACGGAAGGGUUGCCAUCACAUUAUUUGAAGCACAACCUUAUGGAUAGACCUCAAUGACACCUCGAGCUCCCAGUUUCUUGACAAUUUUGUAGUCGCUAAACCCUGCUUUCACAAAGAUGGCAUUCCAAUCCUGCUCAUCCCGCUGUCUUCCCCUAGUAUAUACCAUCAUUGCCAUAUCCAUCAACAGUUGGGUUUCAAACAUCUUUCCUGAAGAAGAGUCGACCACAAUGUCUAUGAUAAUUACUUUUCCUCCCGCUUCUCGGGUAGGAAUGGCCUUCUUGCAUUGGGCUAGGAUAUUGAUGCAAUCCUCGUCACUCCAGAAGUGUAGAACAAGCGGACACGGAAAAAUAUCUAUGUGGUUAAGCAAUGUAUGCGUAUAAUCAAAAGACAUCAAAUUUAUACCUGACUGUUGGUAGUUUUCAUUUAAUUAUAAAGGGUACCUCAAAAGAAUGUGCAUACUAGUGAUCAAACUCUUAAUUUUUACUGUGGUAUAUAUAGAAUCAUGAGCGCUAAAAAAUUAUAGCAUUGUGGAGAAAAAACAUUUCAUACCUUGAGCAUUACAACUUGAGCAGGUGGGAUGGAAUGGAACAUGUCGCCGGCGAUAUAGUUAACGAAACCAUCCCUCGGAGCUUUAUCGAUCACCCUCGAAAGGUCCAACACAUUGCACUUUAUAUGCGGGUAAGCCUUAACGAUGGCCCUAGCUGUCGUUCCAUCACCGCCACAACAGUCGGUGAGCGACUGCAAGCCAUUGAAUAUGCCAUGGCAUUCCCGCAAUAUCGUGCCGAUUCCCAUAUGAUCAUGAGCAGCCAAAGAUUCAUUGAACAGCUUGUCACACUCGGGGUCGAGGGCCGCCAUACUCUCCUCGAAGAGUGCCGCUCCAUGCACAUCCUCGAAUGGUGAUGGCACGGGCGGAGGGAUAUCAUUCUUGAACCAGUCGGCCAGCCCGAUGGCCGCCUCCAUGAAAUGGCGCGAGGUCACGGUGAGCACAAAAGCCGUCUGACUGGCAUCGCCGUCAAUGCGUACACCAUCCACGAGGAGGUAGGACAGUGGGACGAGGCUGUACAUCCCAGCCUCGUUGGACGCCAGGAUACCCGUCGCGGCUAGCAGCCGCAGGAGGCGGCCGACGAACGGCACCUUGGAUGUCGGGAGGGACAGCGCGGUGACCAGGUCGGGUAACGAUGCGGCGCCGCCGAGGCGGUGGAUGGCGGUAGGGAUGCCGAGCUGAACGGCGCACCUUAGCGCCAUUGGUGUGAGGUAGCUGAGGCAGUGGUGCCAAAGGUCAGCCUGCGCCUGGACCAGCUCGGCGUCCGUGGGGGUUGUCAUGGUUUGUGAAGACUCGGCUGCCAUUGCUUUCUCUUUCUCUUGCUAUGAG